AUUGGCUUAGCUUAGUGGCGGACGGGUGAGUAAUGCAUGAGCAACCUGCCCUGCAGUGGGGGACAACAGUUGGAAACGACUGCUAAUACCGCAUGAUGUAUCUGGAAGGCAUCUUCCGGAUACCAAAGAUUUAUCGCUGUGGGAUGGGCUCAUGUCUGAUUAGUUAGUUGGUGGGGUAACGGCCUACCAAGACUGCGAUCAGUAGCCGGACUGAGAGGUUGAACGGCCACAUUGGGACUGAGAUACGGCCCAGACUCC
rnacentral:rRNA from 1 species